rnacentral:rRNA from 1 species
GACGAACGCUGGCGGCGUGCUUAACACAUGCAAGUCGAACGAAGUGGCGAACGGGUGAGUAAUACGUGAGUAACUGCCCUCCUUUUUGGGAUAAGCCUUGGAAACGGCUGCUAAUACCGGAUAGUGGGGGAUGACUCGCGGCCUAUCAGCUUGUUGGUGGGGUAGUGGCCUACCAAGGCGAGGACGGGUAGCCGGCCUGAGGGGUCGAACGGGCACAUUGUGCUGAGAUACGGCGCAGACUGCUACGGGAGGCAGCAGGGGGGAAUAUUGCACAAUGGGGGAGACCCUGAGGCAGCAGCGCCGCGUGCGGGAUGACGGCCUUCGGGUUGUAAACCGCUUUCAGCCAUGACGCGGUAGUGGCAGAAGAAGCACCGGCUAACUACGUGCCAGCAGCCGCGGUAAUUC